UGUAAUUUGCGACUUACUCUGU
rnacentral:miRNA from 1 species